rnacentral:rRNA from 1 species
UACGUAGGGGGCAGCGUUGUCCGGAUUUAUUGGGCGUAAAGAGCGUGUAGGCGGUUUGGUAGGUCCGCUGUGAAAACUCGAGGCUCAACCUCGAGACGCCGGUGGAAACCAUCAGGCUAGAGUCCGGAAGAGGAGAGUGGAAUUCCUGGUGUAGCGGUGAAAUGCGCAGAUAUCAGGAAGAACACCCGUGGCUAAGGCGGCUCUCUAGUACGGUACUGACGCUGAGACGCGAAAGCGUGGGGAGCGAACAGG